GCAGGAGCUGGAAGGGGUGUUCUCCAGGCAGAGGGAGGGAAGGAGCAGGGAGAACUGCAGCCCCCAGCAGCUCGGUCAGUGCCGGAUGGACUCAGGGCUGGGAAAGGUCACUCAGUGUGAGGGCAGGGACACUGAGCUAGUCCAACUGUGGCAAGAAGAACAAGUGGGCUGUGAAGGUUUGGAGUAUUCUGGAAGGUUCCUCGUGCCCAAAGGAUCCUGGCAAGUGCAGCCCUGGAAGAGCACAGAAUAAUGAAAAGUGCCUCAGUUCUCCUGAAGCUCAACUUUGUAAAAUAUUCAUGAAGAUAAAAUUCUACUGUACUGAGCUGUUGGGUCCCAAAUACUCUUGGAGGGAGAGGCAGAAAUUCCCACUGCUGCUGGGGCUGAACUGCUUGCAGUGACCAGGGAGCUUUUGCCGGGGAGCAGUCUUUCAAGGAGUAACGGUGAGAGCGUCUCGCUGGGGCAAGCACCUGAGGUCCCUGGAUCAUCGCUCAAGGAAGGGGCCGAGGGAUGAGCCGUGUGCCGGGAAACAGCGCAGGAGAGGGGAGCAGCGCACGUGAACAGGUGGGGGAGU